UACAGAGGUCUCAAGCGUUGUUUGGAUUCAUUGGGCGUAAAGGGUGCGUAGGUGGCGCGCUAAGUCAGGUGUGAAAUUUCGGAGCUUAACUCCGAAACUGCAUUUGAUACUGGCGUGCUUGAGGACUGGAGAGGAGACUGGAAUUCAUGGUGUAGCAGUGAAAUGCGUAGAGAUCAUGAGGAAGACCAGUGGCGAAGGCGGGUCUCUGGACAGUUCCUGACACUGAGGCACGAAGGCCAGGGGAGCAAACGGG
rnacentral:rRNA from 1 species